rnacentral:rRNA from 1 species
ACGCUGGCGGCAGGCCUAACACAUGCAAGUCGAGCGGUAGAGAGAAGCUUGCUUCUCUUGAGAGCGGCGGACGGGUGAGUAAUGCCUAGGAAUCUGCCUGGUAGUGGGGGAUAACGUCCGGAAACGGACGCUAAUACCGCAUACGUCCUACGGGAGAAAGCAGGGGACCUUCGGGCCUUGCGCUAUCAGAUGAGCCUAGGUCGGAUUAGCUAGUUGGUGGGGUAAUGGCUCACCAAGGCGACGAUCCGUAACUGGUCUGAGAGGAUGAUCAGUCACACUGGAACUGAGACACGGUCCAGACUCCUACGGGAGGCAGCAGUGGGGAAUAUUGGCCAAUGGGCGAAAGCCUGAUCCAGCCAUGCCGCGUGUGUGAAGAAGGUCUUCGGAUUGUAAAGCACUUUAAGUUGGGAGGAAGGGCAGUAAAUUAAUACUUUGCUGUUUUGACGUUACCGACAGAAUAAGCACCGGCUAACUCUGUGCCAGCAGCCGCGGUAAUACAGAGGGUGCAAGCGUUAAUCGGAAUUACUGGGCGUAAAGCGCGCGUAGGUGGUUCGUUAAGUUGGAUGUGAAAUCCCCGGGCUCAACCUGGGAACUGCAUUCAAAACUGACGAGCUAGAGUAUGGUAGAGGGUGGUGGAAUUUCCUGUGUAGCGGUGAAAUGCGUAGAUAUAGGAAGGAACACCAGUGGCGAAGGCGACCACCUGGACUGAUACUGACACUGAGGUGCGAAAGCGUGGGGAGCAAAC